GGGUCUGAGCCGCUUGAUGGGGCCAGGACAGAACCCCACAGUCACACCGAGCCCCUGCGGGUCGCGGUAGCAGUAGCCCCUGCUCCCAUCCUGGCCCUGCCUCAACCCAUCUUGGCCUGUGCCGGCCUGCAUCCUCUGGCCUCAGUUUCUUGAUCUGAGACACCAGGUUGGACCAAUUAGAUGAGCUCAUAGUUAAGACAGGGGACAGUUGUUCUGUUAACCUGGCGUAGGGGCUGAACAGUGGCCCUGAAAGAGAUGUCUGCCCAGACCCGAGAAUGUGGCCUUUCAUGGAAUGCGGCCCUUGCAGAUGUGAUCAAGGCUCCCGUUCUCUUCGUGUAAAAAGACGGGGUCCCAGCUGCUCUGUACCGCCGCUGCCCUCCCCGGGGCUCCUGCAGGACGUGCUACCUGACGGGACCCGGCCGAGGAAGCCCCGCGGGAGGGGGGACGGUGCAGAGCGAAAGGCCAUCCAGGACCCCCGUGAUCUCAUUCGGGCCCCUUGCCUUGCCUUCUGAGCCCGGCUCCGGGCUUGAAUUAUGAGAAUCCCCCUCCAGGGGACCCUUCUCAAGGGCCUGUGGACAUUCUGCCACCCUGUCAGCCUGGAGGAUGCUUCUCUACUUGUCCCGAAGACAGGGCAGCUUCCCGCCAGGUGCCCUCUGCAUUCCACAUUCUGGAAGGCUCCCAAGAGCAGACGUCCAGUGAAAGGCAAGCCUGCCUCUGCAGUCACCCGGGUUUCCAGCCGGCGCCCCCCUCCCCUGAUGGUGGGAAGUGGAGCCUGCAGAACUCUCUGAGGCCUUACAGCGGACAAGCAGGGGCAGCAAGACAAGGGCCUUGGGUGGUCUGAGCCCAGAUGUUCUAGCAGGGCGCCUGGUGGAGUCCACACUCGUGCUUUGCGGCCAACUCAGGAGGCAAGGCAGUGGCGGGAAACACACACAGUGGCAGAUUCCUUCCCAGUCCUCCGGCACCGGCCCCACAAGGCUGGACGCCUGCUAGGCUGGUGACUGACGUGGCCACAGGCAGGGAGGGGACAUCAGGGCCAGAGAAGCCCAGGUCCAGCGGGAAGAGGCCUCCAGAAAAAGGCAGAGCAUCAAAACCGUGAUUGCAGGGAUUUUAUCCCUAUGGCCAGGACUGAGUCAGUAGCGAUGUUAGCCUUGAGCUGACCGAAGGAAAACUGGGAAAUGAGAACACAUCUUGGACCUGCUAAGACCUUGCUGUGGACCAUGAAUGACGGAAGAGUGGGCAGCAUGGAGCUGGCCCAGGCUCUGCAGACUGUUUCUGGAAAGGGCCAGGGAGUACAAAGUUUAGGUUCUGUGGCCACUCGGUCACUGUUGCAACCACUCGGCUCUGCCCGUGUACUGUGAAAGUCGCCGUGGACGACAGGCAAAUGAGUGGUCGUGGCCUUGUGCCAAUAAAACUUUAUUUGUGGGCCCUGAAAUGUGAAUUUUGUAUAAUUUCCAUAUGUUGUAAAAUCAUCACUUCUUCUUCUCCUUCUCCUUCUCCUUCUUCUCCCCCUCCCCUUCCCUCCCCCACUGCCCUCCUCCUCCCCCUCCCCCCUCCCCCUCCUUCCAGCCAUUUAAGUGUGUUAAAACCAUUCUCAGCCAGAGGGCUGGAUACAGACAGGCCAGCUUUGAGCCAUAGCUGGUGACCCCGAUCCCGUCUGAUGCUCUCAUUUGUGGAUGAAGUGACAGACCCAGCAGUGGGCGGGGACUUGCUGAAGCCCACAGGGCACGCGGGAGCAGAGCCUGGACGGGGGCAGCCCCAGGCUUACCCACACCCCCUGCUUCUGCUUCCUGGGGCUCCUGGGGUGCCACAGCCCCCGACCUCAGCAGCACCCUGCUCCUUUGGGCACAGCCCGACUCUGAGUGGUUCUGGAGGCUGCGGACCUCAGAGCCCCGCCUGCGGGGACCCCGGAGACUUGAAUGACUCGCCGCCCCCUGCUACCCCAACUCCACACCCACCUCCUGGCUAAGGCGACUGGCCCAGGAGUGGACGCCAAGCUGCACGGUCGGGCCUCCGUGGAGGCGGAGAGGAAGGGGCGCUCGUUCCUCCGGGGGCUCUAAGCUGGACCACCGUGCAGGCCUUGGAGUGCUGCAGCCAGGACCCCUGUCCCCAGACUCCUGAGGGGUCCUCUCUGCGGGGAGAGAGGCCCCACCUGGAGAGAACCGGGGCGGGAGAGAGCAGAGAUGGGGAGACACCCAGGCCG